rnacentral:rRNA from 1 species
ACAUGCAAGUCGAGGGGCAGCACGUUAAAGAGUUUACUCUUUAUGGUGGCGACCGGCGGACGGGUGCGUAACGCGUAUGCAACCUGCCUGACACAGGGGGAUAGCCUUUCGAAAGAAAGAUUAAUACCCGAUGGCAUAGUUCUUCCGCAUGGUAGAACUAUUAAAGAAUUUCGGUUAUCGAUGGGGAUGCGUUCCAUUAGUUUGUUGGCGGGGUAACGGCCCACCAAGACUACGAUGGAUAGGGGUUCUGAGAGGAAGGUCCCCACAUUGGAACUGAGACACGGUCCAAACUCC